CACGUGGCUGCCAUUAGAUUAGAGCUGUCCCUUUAGAAAGGCAAGGGACAGGAGGAGGGAUUGGCCCUGAGCUCCAGGAUGUCAGAAGAGGAAGCAAAAAAGAGCAGCCUGCAAAUGCAGCCAUGGUGGGAAGGACUUGGAUCAGAUCCCAGAGGAGCCAGGCAACUUGAGUUUAGGAAUAGGGAGAAAUGUCUGGGGGAUUGCUGCUCUCAUCAAGAUAACUGCCUGGAAAGACUGUGAGUUGUUUGUUGUUCUUUUUAAAAAUAUUUUUAUGUGUAUUAGAGUUUUGCCUGCAGCUAUGCCAGAGUGAAAGUGACACAUCCCCUGGAGCUGGAGUUACAGACAUUGUGAGGCGCCAUGUAGGUGCUGGGAAUUGAACCUCUGUCCUCUGGAAGAGCAGCCAAUGCUCUUGACUGCUGAGCUAUUUCCCAGGAUGUCCUUAUGCUGCUCUGUGUGAGCAGAGGCCAGGCACUGCUAUGUGGAAACUAUCCCAACUUUGGUAGCCUCACAUAUGGGCUUGAAAAGACGAUGAUGGGAACCUGACCACAACAGCAUGUACCAGCAACCAUUAUUUAAGGAACCCAGACGAGGUGAGCAGCCCUAACUCCUGUGGGUGACACUGUGUAUGACACGGGGAAGGAGCAGGAAGAGAUGCCUGUACGUGACUCUCGUGGACAUCUCUCAAGCAAGAGUUCGUGCACAUGGAGACGGAGACGGAGAGGCCUGGCAUGCAGCACAGCGGUACUGCUGGUGCCUGGAGAUGGACUCUGCACUUCUCCCCAUUUUACAGAUGAGAACAGUUGAGCAAGGUCAGCAGCAGAGUCAGAACUCUUCCCCCAUCACCACAGUGGUCCUCAAGCUGGAGCCAGACAUCCACCCAGGUGACCCAGCUUGGAUCAUGUGCUUAGGGCCAUGUUGAGCCAACAACUGAGCCUGAGGAUUACCUUCCCAAGUCUCAGUCCCUUCCUCACCAGUCGGGACACUUGUCAUGCCUGCGAGAUGUCAGACCUGCCUUCCUUCCUCAUUUCCUCCACAACCCACAAGAACACAGCCAGGACCCCUAGGCUUCUCCACUUCAGGACCACUACACACUAUUCACACCAUCCUUCAGGACCACUACACACUAUUCACACCAUCCUUCAGGACCACUACACACUAUUCACACUGUACGUCAGGACCACUACACACUAUUCACACCAUCCUUCAGGACCACUACACACUAUUCACAUUGUACUUCAGGACCACUACACACUAUUCAUACCAUCCUUCAGGACCACUACACACUAUUCACAUUGUACUUCAGGACCACUACACACUAUUCACACCAUCCUUCAGGACCACUACACACUAUUCACAUUGUGCUUCAGGACCACUACACACUAUUCACACUGUACUUCAGAUCCACUAUACACUAUUCACACCAUCCUUCAGGACCACUAUACACUAUUCACACUGUACUUCAGGACCACUAUACACUAUUCACACUGUACUUCAGAUCCACUAUACACUAUUCACACCAUCCUUCAGGACCACUACACACUAUUCACACUAUCCUUCAGGACCACUAUACACUAUUCACACUGUACUUCAGGACCACUACACACUAUUCACACCAUCCUUCAGGACUACUACACACUAUUCACACCAUCCUUCAGGAUCACUAUAUGUGGCCUGUUGUACCAUGUGAUCUCGAUCUCACUGCAUGGCUAGGAGAACCUCCGCGCACUUCUCUCAUCUGUGCUUUCUCAGCUAGAGAGGUCUCAGAAGAUACUGUGAGCAAAACCUCCUCAGUAUGCCCUAGAAAGUCUAUAGUGGCACUACCUCCCAUCCUACAGCUGAGAAAACUGAGGUUUGGAUCAUGGUCUAGUCAUAGCUGAAACCCAAGGCUUGAUUCCUUAUCCUACAGAACACAUUUUUUUGAAUUUUAAAUAUUAUAGUGUGUGUGUGUGUAUGUGUGUGUGUGUGUGUGUGCUCACAUAUUCAUGUGGAGGUCAGAGGACAACUUUUGUCCUCUUCCACCAUAGAGCACAGCUUUGACCUGUAAGCUGCCACUCCUAUGUGGGGUUAUAUAACUGAAUAUGAGGGUUGCAACAUUUUUGGCAACAAUAAAAGGCUUCCGAAUGCAUAACAACCAAAUAGAUUAAAGAUCAAAUCUGCCUUGAAUCUAAGGUGUUUCUGGCAGUACUUGGCCAUGUGCACCACGUGACUGCACUGCUGCUCUGACUCUGAACAAACAAAAGACAAAGUUAAAUGAGAGGCUGGACAGAUGGCUCAGUGGUUAAGAGGACUGGCUGCUCUCUCAGAGGACUUGGAUUUAAGACCCACACCCACAGGACUGCUCACAAUUCUCCAAGUAGAGUCUUAGAGGAUCUGACAACCCCUUCUGGCCUCCAUAGGUACCAGGCACACAUGUAGUGCAUAUAUCUACACUCACCCAAAACACUCAUACACAUAAAAUAAGUAAGUAGAAAAAUGGAAAACAAAAUAAGCAAGCACUUCCAUCUUACUGGUGUGCAAUUUACUUUCAUUCUUAAUAAAUGGUAAAACUACGUGUCAA
rnacentral:lncRNA from 1 species